UUUGGAUCGUUCCUAACUAUGUCUCUGCCUAACCCAAAACUCCAAAUCGCGACCCGUCUCCGCCCUCUCCAUUGUGCCUUGUAGAUCUAUACCUUGUCGCCACCUUGUCUCUUUGUCAUGCCCUGUCGCUACCUUGUCACUGGUCUCGAAAUUGAGGCUCUCUUCUCUCAAAUUGGAGAAGUCUAUUCUCAAAUUAAAACUCUCUGCUCUCAAAUUUCCGUAGGUAUGUUAUACCGUAAAUUUCUGUAAUAGAUUGUUAUAGAAACUUUGCUCUAUUUCUCUCAAAUUGAAGCAUCCAAAUAAUUUCUCUUAUUUUCUCAAUUUGGAACCCUAAUUUCUUCUUUGUUAUUUUCCGCUUUGUUGCUCAUCACAGGAAUAGCCUUAUCUCGCUCUGUAGUCAAAUUUGUUGAAAAUGUACUAAUUAUAUGCCCUACUUUUCUGUUUUCCUUAAUAAUUUCUACUAUUUUUAUACUUCACCUGCUCCUAAUUUUCUGUUGUUAAUUGCGUAUGCUUUUGUGUCUUCAUAAUUGCUGCUAACCAGGUAUAUUCAUUCAUAUUCGUUACUAUUUCCACAAUAAUAGUAUUUAUAUGUUUUGUUAGUUGUUGACCUGAAUUCCAUAGAUAAACUUGUUAUUUAGUUGCUGACUUACUUCUUCAUUUUUAGAUAGUGCUUAAUUUUCUUUCCUUGAAAUUUUCUUGUAAAAACUUUGCAUCAGGGGUCAGGGCAUCCCUGUCUAUCAACUCAAAUUUGUUAGUAUAUGUCACUAACAAAUGUUUAGUCUUUUCCAGUAACAUGAAUCUUCAUCUAGUAAGUAUAUAUGCGAUAAAGUGACUAGACCAUGUCUUUUAAGUAUUUUCUGCAAUAUUCUACUUGACCGGUCAUAAUGGUAGUUUAUAAUCUUCCACCUUCUAUGUGUAUGAAUGAUCUUUUCAUGUUUAUGACAUUACUAAUUGCAAGAGAAAAGAUUCAUGGAAAUGACAUAAAUGUAUAUUUGAGACCAUUUGUACUAUCAGUACUGCUUAUGUUGUUUGGUUCUAACCCCCUACCCCAGUUGUUGGAUUUUUGUGCUAGAAUGUAUCUAAACAUGUGUAGGAGCUUUUUAUUAUAAUUAUCUCUACAGAAGAGUGUCUUUUGAACGAUCAAAAUAGUUGCAUCAUGUUCAGUGUUUUCUAAAAGUUUUCUCAUGUUCUAUUUUUUAUAUAUUUUUUUGUUAGACUGUUAGAUAGCUCCCUAUGUAAAGCGUGGUGGUAGACGAGGGGGUGGUCAGGGCAGUGGACGAGGGAAUGGAAGAGAUGAUGGACGAGAGGAUGCACAUACUGAUGAUGGAAGAGAUGAAGCUCUUACUUGAUGGGGACGAGAGUUUUGGGACAAAGGGUUAAUAUCACACAGAUAAUUCUCACGCAAAACUCAAUCAAUUCAUCAUUCGAUGUCUCCAAAUAAUGAAGUGCAUCACUAUUUAUAAUACUCCUAAACAACUUUCCUAACCUAAAUUAGACUCUAAUACGAUAACUACAAAUUAAAUAAAUUAAUUAAAAUACAACUUAUUAUUCAUAUAGGCUUCUAAAGCCUUUUAUAUUGUUCUAACCAAUUUUUACGGAUUCAUCCUACAUCAUUUCUCCUCCACUGAAAAUAACUUGACUCCGUUGAGUUAUCAGCACAAGAAUAAUCACGUCGCAUCACCAAGGUAGUCUUUGCAAGCUUCAAAUUUGACAUGUCGAGAGCGCAAGUAAGAGUGAAUUUGGUAUUGGCUUUGAUAAUCGAAUAGAUAUUAGCACAAGCAUCAUCUGGCGCGUGACGAUCCCAUAGCCAUUUAUGCCCUAAGAUAAUGUGACAAACCUUAAGGGGUAGAACAUCACACAUAACGGUAUCUGUAAGCUUGCCAACAAAAAAUGUAACCAAACACCGCUGGGUAACCCAUAACUUUAUAUUGGUAACCCACGCAAUAUCAUACGGCUCUGGUUGAGGCUCAACUUUUAACCCAAGUUUCUUAAUUGCUUCCUCAAAGAUAACAUCCGUAAAACUCCCAGUAUCAAUUACAAGAGAGCACACAUGUCCCGCACAUAUGACCUUCGUUUGAAAAAUUUGUCCACGAUGGAUUUUAAGAUCAUCCUUAUGUUUCUGGACAACAAGUAAAGGUCGAAGAACACCUAAACAUCCUUUCAAAUGAGCAUCAACUUCUAAAUCUUGUUUAUCGGGCUCAUAUUCGUCGUCUAUCAGCUUGCAAACCUCUUCGUUUAAGUCAGCUUUUUCACACGCUUUGUCAACAAUAGCAAGUUGCCUAGAGGGGGAAGAUAAAACAUUCUUCUUUUGGGAAGGACACUCAAAAGACAUGUGACCAAAAUCACGAUAGUUAUAGCACCUAGACGAAUUGUUGUUGCUAGCAUUAGAAGAACAUGUGGUAUGAUUAGGCCUGUUAGUAGCUGAAAGGUUUGUUGAGAAUCUUUAUAUUGGCCUAUUUAAAACAGGCUCCACAAACGUACGCUCUCUCCGAGUUUGGACUUAUAUUGGAGGCCUAACAUAAUUUCUUUUUCAAAUUAUCCUCUAUUUGGGUAGCAACUUGAACAACGUCAUUCAAGAGUAAUAGUUUUCCUGUAGCUAGCUACACCACCUGCAAUCUCUAGAUUCAAUCAUCGACGGUACAUGGAGAUUAAAACUUCUUCAACCCAAGGAAAUUUAGACUGUGUAACCAAAUUAUAAAACGUUGAAGUAUACUCGGCUACAAAUUUACUUUCUUAUACCAACUUAGUUAACUGUAAAUAUACUCGCUGCCUAUAAUCCGAAGGUACAAAACGUCGUGUUAAUGCAGUUUUCAUAUCUUCCCAUCUUCUUGUAGCUGUAUACAAAUUUCGUUGAUGUUAAUCUCACCAAAUCCGAGUCGUUCCUUUCAACUUCGCUUCAGCAAAGAAGAGUUUCCUUUCAUCGAAUAAUUCAUACCAACGAAAGAAGCUCUCCAAACUAUGAUUCCAAUCGAAGAAUGUUUCGGGACCAUUAUCGCCAUUGAAAUCUUCAACAUCUAAUUUAGCUCCUCUAUCCAUCACAUUCAUCCUAGGAUAUGAUCUGGAACAUUAACUCGUGGAUUAGGGUCAUGCUACUGCAGUCUCAGAUGAUUAAGAUUCGGGAUGUGGUUUUCCAAAUUUUUAUGCUGAUCAUCUUCUUGUCCCUUAUCUACGCGUUCUGUAAGUACAUCAACCUUUACUGUAAGUGUUGUAAUAGAAGCAUCAACAUUUGCAGCAAGUGUUGUGAUUGAAUCUUCAAUCCUUUUGAAACACUCAUCUUGUUGUAACACAUAAGCAUCAAGCUUGGUGUUAAUUUCUCCAGCAUUGACCAUGGUUCUUGUGAAUAAAAAUAUAUAUUUUUUUUUUGUUGCUUUAGGGACUUAUGUGCAGAAAAUAUAAAGAAAAAGGGUUGAACUGAAAUUAAUGAAACUUCAUGGGCUAAAAUGAAACUUCAAGGACUGAUAUGUAAAAUUUCAAGGGUUAUUUUGAAAUUUAAGAUAACUUGGGGGACUAAACUAGAAAAUUAUAAAAACUAUGAGGUACCUAAUUGUAAUUUUCAAUGAGAUAUUUUUUCCCUCUACACGGAUCUGUUUCUCGACUUCACGUUUUAUUUUCUACUUCGAGGAAGAAGAGCAGUAAGCUUGAGGAGCUAACGACUUAAACCUUGACAAAAAAAAAUAAGGGUGGUGGUGGCCGGACGCAGCGGCGGUCAGGGUGGUUCUCCUUCCUACUUCUCUUUUUGUUUUUCUUUUUCACGUCUGUGAUGGUUGCGAUUUAGGGCUUCGACUUGGGCUGUGUUUGGCUAGAUGUUUUGCUUAAAUUUGGGUUAUGGUCGAUAUUUGUAUAGUGUACUAGGGUUAAUUUUGGCUGUGUUUGGACGAGGUUUGGUGCGACAGAUGUUUUCGUAAUGACAUUAAAGGUUGGGCAGCGAGCAUAAUUUUUUUCCCAGAUAGCGGCUUGUUGUGGGGUUGUAACUGGGCAAUAGUUUUGUAACUGCUAGAGGUGUAAUUAGUCCGAGUGUAACGGCUAGAGUUUGUUUAUAUUGGGUAGUUUAUGAUUUAAGGUGAUGUCACUGAUUUUCGGUCGACUGAGGAUGCAUCAACGGAUAAUUCUCACGUAAAACUCAAUCGAUUCAUCAUUCGAUGUCUCCAAAUAAUGAAGUACAAUCACUAUUUAUAAUACUCCUAAAUUGGACUCUAAUACGAUAAACUACAAAUUAAAGAAAUUAAUUAAAAUAUAACUUCUUAUUUAUAUAGGCUUCCAAAGCCUUUUAUAUUAUCCUAACCAACUUUUACGGAUUCGUUCUACAUUAUUACUACUUUUGGGAAUGGAAAUUUGCAUAAUUUUGACUACAAAAGAAACAUUAAACACAAUUUAUAUAUUUGAACUUGCUUAUAAUAUGUUUAACAGAACUAAUUCACCCAUUUUGUUAUCAGAUCCACCUAAUAUGUAUUCUUUUCCUUUGUUCAAAAACACUAGCGAAAUUGGGAGUUCUGUAAUAGGAAAGGCAGGUCAAAUUAAGUGGCUGGUCAAAGGUUUAUGUGAAUCUCAGUAUUACAAUUUCAGUGUUCAUUCAAAAUUAUAACCUGUACCCAUCCUAUUAAUUGUGAAGAAGAAGAAGAAUGUAUAAUGAGUUCUCUGAUUACUUAUAUUAGUCAAUUUUCUGGUAGUUAUUGCAGAUGAGGAUGCUAAAAGUUACUUUUAUUUUUUCUUAUUCCUCGUCUCAUUGAAAUUGAAUUUUUGUGUUUCUCUUGCAGCAUGAAGUUUACCGGCCUAACAUUUAUUUCUUUGAAGAAAAUGAUGAUGAAAUGGACCUAAAAUAACACAGUUUAUUCUUUCUAGUUUGUUGUUAUUCUUUCAAUUUUCUUAUGUUAGUUAAUAAAUAUUGUACAUACUAUGGUCCUUGGGAGAUACAAUAUUAAAUUAAGUACUUAUCAUGACUCGAGCAUUAUCUAUUUAUACGUAGAGUAUUGAUUUUAUUAGCUUUUUAUGCAUUAAUUUAUCGAUUAGUUUGAAAC
rnacentral:lncRNA from 1 species